AUUGAACGCUGGCGGCAGGCCUAACACAUGCAAGUCGAGCGGGGUUUUCGGACCUAGCGGCGGACGGGUGAGUAAUGCGUAGGAAGCUACCCGAUAGAGGGGGAUACCAGUUGGAAACGACUGUUAAUACCGCAUAAUGUCUACGGACCAAAGUGUGGGACCUUCGGGCCACAUGCUAUCGGAUGCGCCUACGUGGGAUUAGCUAGUUGGUGGGGUAAAGGCUCACCAAGCCAACGAUCUGUAGCUGGUCUGAGAGGACGACCAGCCACACUGGAACUGAGACACGGUCCAGACUCCUACGGGAGGCAGCAGUGGGGAAUUUUGGACAAUGGACGCAAGUCUGAUCCAGCCAUUCCGCGUGCAGGAUGAAGGCCCUCGGGUUGUAAACUGCUUUUGUACGGAACGAAAAGGUCUCUAUUAAUACUAGGGGCUCAUGACGGUACCGUAAGAAUAAGCACCGGCUAACUACGUG
rnacentral:rRNA from 1 species